rnacentral:rRNA from 1 species
GAUGAACGCUGGCGGCGUGCCUAAUACAUGCAAGUCGAGCGAACGGACGAGAAGCUUGCUUCUCUGAUGUUAGCGGCGGACGGGUGAGUAACACGUGGAUAACCUACCUAUAAGAUUGGGAUAACUUCGGGAAACCGGAGCUAAUACCGGAUAAUAUUAUGAACCGCAUGGUUCAAAAGUGAAAGACGGUCUUGCUGUCACUUAUAGAUGGAUCCGCGCUGCAUUAGCUAGUUGGUAAGGUAACGGCUUACCAAGGCAACGAUGCAUAGCCGACCUGAGAGGGUGAUCGGCCACACUGGAACUGAGACACGGUCCAGACUCCUACGGGAGGCAGCAGUAGGGAAUCUUCCGCAAUGGGCGAAAGCCUGACGGAGCAACGCCGCGUGAGUGAUGAAGGUCUUCGGAUCGUAAAACUCUGUUAUUAGGGAAGAACAUAUGUGUAAGUAACUGUGCACAUCUUGACGGUACCUAAUCAGAAAGCCACGGCUAACUACGUG